AGGAAAGGAAGCAAAAAACAAAACUGCCCCGACAGAAAGUUUCACCCAAAAAGAGGUGAAGAGGAUCACCAGCAAACACAGCAAUUCAGAUCUCGGCUGUUGGAAGAGUUACAGAAUAAAUAUACGGUAGUGCUGACAUCCAGUGCUGUUUCAUCUUAGCAAAGAGUUUUUAAUAAAGAAAAUUCUUUUCAAGGAAUGCUUUCUGCAGCCCGUCUUCAACAAGAGGUUUUCCCCCUCCCAGUUUAAUAAAAUUAAAGUAAUUUAUGUCAUAUUGAUAUGUCGAUAUGUUUUUCAAUAAACUUUUUCACAGAGA